rnacentral:rRNA from 1 species
CAGUCGCCGCGGGAAUACCGAGGGUGCAAGCGUUAAUCGGAAUUACUGGGCGUAAAGCGCGCGUAGGUGGUUUGUUAAGUCGGAUGUGAAAUCCCCGGGCUCAACCUGGGAACUGCAUCCGAAACUGGCAAGCUAGAGUAUGGUAGAGGGUAGUGGAAUUUCCUGUGUAGCGGUGAAAUGCGUAGAUAUAGGAAGGAACACCAGUGGCGAAGGCGACUACCUGGACUGAUACUGACACUGAGGUGCGAAAGCGUGGGGAGCAAACAGGAUUAGAUACCCGCGUAGUCCCUGUCUCUUAUAC